AUGAUUAUAGGUUAAGGGUAGACCAUCAAUUUUCCAAAUUGAGAGUCAGAGUUCAAAUCUCUGUAAUCAUA
rnacentral:tRNA from 1 species